GACAGAGGGUGCAAGCGUUGUUCGGAAUUACUGGGCGUAAAGGGCGUGUAGGCGGUUUAGUCUGUCUGAUGUGAAAUACCCAAGCUCAACUUGGGAACUGCAUUGGAUACUGCUAAACUAGAGUAUUAGAGAGGAAAGCGGAAUUCCUAGUGUAGAGGUGAAAUUCGUAGAUACUAGGAGGAACAUCUGAGGCGAAGGCG
rnacentral:rRNA from 1 species